UUUUGGACCAUUUUAAGCCAAUUUUGGACCAUUUUAAGCCAAUUUUGGGCCAUUUUAA
ensembl:ncRNA F54C4.7 ncRNA